ACUCCUACGGGAGGCAGCAGUGGGGAAUAUUGCACAAUGGGCGCAAGCCUGAUGCAGCCAUGCCGCGUGUGUGAAGAAGGCCUCGGUUGUAAAGCACUUUCAGUCGUGAGGAAGGUAGUGUAGUUAAUAGCUGCAUUAUUUGACGUUAGCGACAGAAGAAGCACCGGCUAACUCCGUGCCAGCAGCCGCGGUAAUACGGAGGGUGCGAGCGUUAAUCGGAAUUACUGGGCGUAAAGCGCAUGCAGGUGGUUUGUUAAGUCAGAUGUGAAAGCCCGGGGCUCAACCUCGGAAUAGCAUUUGAAACUGGCAGACUAGAGUACUGUAGAGGGGGUAGAAUUUCAGGUGUAGCGGUGAAAUGCGUAGAGAUCUGAAGGAAUACCGGUGGCGAAGGCGGCCCCCUGGACAGAUACUGACACUCAGAUGCGAAAGCGUGGGGAGC
rnacentral:rRNA from 1 species